CCUUUGGAUACAAGUGCGAUGGAUGUUAUAACUAACUUUUGUCUUUGUUUAUGUACAUGUACAUUUACAUUGUUGUAAUUCUUGCAUUUUAUACAUGAAAAAGUAAUGAAAAUAAUACAGUAGCCAUAUGAGGAGUUAAGAUAAUCUCCCUGAGAGGAAGGGCAUGGAGUAAACAAAAGUUUACCAAAAUUUGUACCAAAGAUCGCUUGUAGGAGAUAUGUUCUUUAGGAUGACUCAUGACAUGCAUGUUUGUGUCGCUGAUUGUUAUGGAAUUAGAGACUUUUUGUGGUGUGAUGUGCCAAUUUACUUAUUCAACAUUGUUUAACAAUUUCUAAUUACGAGUCUUUAAUAUUCAGAACUUUUUUCUACUUAUUAUUUUUAGACUUUUCAUGUAGCUUUAGUGACUGCUUUUGUUUUCUAUGAGUUUUUUUUUCUCUUACCAAUAUAUUCGGGUGCAAAUGAUUGUUUUAAAAGAACAGUGUGUGGAUGGGGAAGCGUCAGACGUGGCGGUUCUCAUUUCCCUUCUUGAGAGCCAUUCUUGACGUCUCGGGAGGAGAGAGAUUCUUUUCUUGGUAGGUUCUUGACGGCUGACUCUAUAUGUUGGAUAGGCUGUCCGGAUUUUGCCUUCGUUAGUUGGUCCUUUCUGUUGCAUUCUGUGUUGGAAGACUUGGAUCACCUUCUUGGGCAUUCUGCGCUGGCGAGUGGCAUUUGGGAUGCUUUUCUUCAGACUUUUGGCUUGUUGUAUGCUCGUCAUAGAGAUGUUAGAGGGAUGAUCGAGGAGUUCCUCCUCAAUCUGCCUUGUGGGGAAAGAGGCCGGUUCCUUUGGCGUGCUUGUGUUUGUGCCAUCUUGUGGGUUUUGUGGGAUGAGACAAAUAGGAGGGUGUUUUGGGGAGUUGAAAGGGGGACUGGGGAGAUUUGGUUGGUUAUUCGGUAUCAUGUUUCUCUUUGGGAUUCGAUUUCGAAGACUUUUUGUAAUUACCCUCUUGACAUGAUUUUGUAUAGUUGGGCCACCUUUGUGUAGUGGGGGUCCCUUGUGUUUUGCGGGCUUGGUUUUUGUGCGCCCGUGUAUUCUUUCAUUUUUUUUCAAUGAAAGCCGUCUAUUUCUAUAAUUUUUUUUUGUAUGAAAAGUCAAAUAUCUUGUCCAGUUCUCUAUCUUGUAGUUUUGUUCUUUAGGUUGAUUUCAACUUAUUGUUGCACCUUUCUUUGCUAUCGUCACACCCACGGGCAUUGUUCCACCUUCUGUUCUAGUAAUGAACACGUGAGGUCAACUACUAUUAUUUCCUAAUUUGUACUUGU